GACGAACGCUGGCGGCGUGCUUAACACAUGCAAGUCGAACGGAAAGGCCCUGCUUGCCGGGUACUCGAGUGGCGAACGGGUGAGUAACACGUGGGUGAUCUGCCCUGCACUUCGGGAUAAGCCUGGGAAACUGGGUCUAAUACCGGAUAGGAGCCAUUUUUAGUGUGAUGGUUGGAAAGUUUUUUCGGUGUAGGAUGAGCUCGCGGCCUAUCAGCUUGUUGGUGGGGUAAUGGCCUACCAAGGCGGCGACGGGUAGCCGGCCUGAGAGGGUGGACGGCCACAUUGGGACUGAGAUACGGCCCAGACUCCUACGGGAGGCAGCAGUGGGGAAUAUUGCACAAUGGGCGCAAGCCUGAUGCAGCGACGCCGCGUGGGGGAUGACGGCCUUCGGGUUGUAAACUCCGUUCGCUAGGGACGAAGCUUUUUGUGACGGUACCUAGAUAAGAAGCACCGGCUAACUACGUG
rnacentral:rRNA from 1 species